AAUAAUUGAAAGUGUUGUAAAUCAAUAAUUUUCAAAUGGUUAGAUAGGUCUUUGAGAUGGGAAUGAGAGAGAGUUUAGAAAUGUAGUUUUUGAUGAUACCUCUCUUCCUGCCUUGGAAUAUUAUUACCCUUUCAAUGGGUCCUCCUGAAAACCCCAUCCUUGUGAUUUCAUCUCAACCAGAUGACUGCCAAAAGGCCCCAUCUCCAUCCAAAGUAAAACUGAAACAUCA